rnacentral:rRNA from 1 species
GUGGAUUAGAUACCCUGGUAGUCCACGCUGUAAACGAUGAAUACUAGGUGUGCGGGGACUGACCCCCUGCGUGCCGCAGCUAACGCAAUAAGUAUUCCACCUGGGGAGUACGAUCGCAAGGUUGAAACUCAAAGGAAUUGACGGGGGCCCGCACAAGCGGUGGAUUAUGUGGUUUAAUUCGAAGCAACGCGAAGAACCUUACCAGGGCUUGACAUCCUACUAACGAAGUAGAGAUACAUCAGGUGCCCUUCGGGGAAAGUAGAGACAGGUGGUGCAUGGUUGUCGACAGCU